CUGCUUAGUUCUCCGUCUGCAGGAGCCAUGCCAACGCUUGUUGCUGUUCAAACAAAGGGCCGGCCUCCUGUGAGGGGCAGACUGCCCAAGUCAGCUGACAGCCUCUGCGUUUGUUUAUCUCCUGGGAUUCUUGCUCUUGCUUGAUUCUUGGCGCCAGAGUAUUUCUCUUAUCUCCUGGUAAGAGCUGCCAUGCAUUUAAAAGUAUGUUUUAAAAUUUAUCCAGCAUUUAUGCACAUUUUAUUCCAGAUGAGUUAAGUCAACCAUUGGCAGAAACCUUGAUCGACUCUGAAAUCCUCACUCCCAGCUGAUAGCAGAUGGCUUUGAAGAAUGCUCCUCUGGAACAACACAAUUAAUUCUGCUCUUCUCAUGCUGGACCUGGUAACAAAUGGUAUGAUAAAUGUUUGACUCACAACGCCUGUCUAAUCAUGAGGAAAACAGCAGACAAACCCAGAAUGAGAGGCAUUCUGCAAAAUUCAUGAUCAGUACUCCUCAAUGUCAAGGUCAGCAAAAACAAGGCAAGUCUGAGAAACUGUAGCAGAGCAGAGAAGACAAAGGAGAGGUGAUGGUUAAAUAUAACAUGGUGUCCUGGGAGAGAAGAAGAACACUAAGGAAAAACGAAAGAAAUCUGAAUAAAAAAUACAGAGUUUAACA
rnacentral:lncRNA from 13 species